rnacentral:rRNA from 1 species
GAUGAACGCUGGCGGCGUGCCUAAUACAUGCAAGUCGAACGGGAGACCUGGUUUCGACCGGGUUGAGAGUGGCGCACGGGUGAGGAACACAUGGCUGACCUGCCCUUCAGAGGGGGAUAACGGCUGGAAACGGCUGCUAAUACCCCAUACGCUCCUUGGGAUUAGAGGCCUGAGGAGGAAAGCCUUCGGGUGCUGAAGGAGGGGGCUGUGGCCCAUCAGCUUGUUGGUAGGGUAACGGCCUACCAAGGCGACGACGGGUAGGGGGCCUGAGAGGGUGACCCCCCACACUGGGACUGAGACACGGCCCAGACUCCUACGGGAGGCAGCAGUAAGGGAUCUUGCGACAAUGGGCGAAAGCCUGACGCAGCAACGCCGCGUGCGGGAGACGGCCUCGGUGUAACCGCUUUCGGGGAGAGGAAGGACGGUACCCCGGAACGAAGUCUCGGCUAACUACGUGCCAGCAGCCGCGGUAUAGUCACGUCG